rnacentral:rRNA from 1 species
UACGUAGGGGGCUAGCGUUGUCCGGAUUUAUUGGGCGUAAAGAGCGUGUAGGCGGCCAUUUAGGUCCGGUGGGAAAACUCGAGGCUUAACCUCGAGAUGUCAUCGGAAACCAUUUGGCUAGAGUCCGGAAGAGGAGAGUGGAAUUCCUGGUGUAGCGGUGAAAUGCGCAGAUAUCAGGAAGAACACCAAUGGCGAAAGCAGCUCUCUGGGACGGUACUGACGCUGAGGAGCGAAAGCGUGGGGAGCGAACAGG